UAAGUUUGAGUUUCAAUAACCUAAGUAAACUUUGCGGAAUUGUUGUCAGUGUAAACCGGUAAGGGACAUGCUAGACUAGUCUUUUUUCAUAUGUUAUGUUGCUACAAUGUCCCAAAUGCAAUAAUUAAAUAUUGUUGCUAAGCCGGGUACUUUCACAAUAUUUAGGAUAGGUUCUUAUAGAAAUAAGAUGUAGGCUUUUAUUUCACGCAGUUAUAGAAGCACUACGGAUACCGCACUAAUCCAUAUUGUUGACGUUUUUGUUUUGAAUAACAUCGGAAGUUAAUCAGCGAUAUCAUACGUUUCAGAUGAGUUUACCUGUAAUUCAGGUACAUUUCCGCCUCAUGCGCGUUCUGCCACAGUCAAAACAACUAGGAACUCCGAGAUCCGACCUCAAGACCAUUGACGUCAUGAUUUGACAUCGUUUUUUCCGGGUUCCCAGUUGUUUUGAAAACACAAUUGAUACAGGAAAAUGACCAGGGAAAAGUUUGAAGAACAACCCAACCUAAACCAAAAGAACACUAACACUCACCUUUUUAAAGAAUGACCAAUAUCUCCAGCAGUAGGUAAAUCCAAGGUAGGAAAUCGGCAGGAUCUUCCAAAUGUAUUUUGUGUUAGUUCUUGAACUGGGAACGGCUGGAGUUUCAGUGAAACCAGAGUGGAAAUUGACGUAGCCUAGUGUCCCAAUUCCAGCAGUCGUUGCGCGUGGUUAAAAUUAUUAAUGUCGCGUUAUAAAUGAAACCACAUAACUAAGAGAAUAGCACGUGUAACAAUUUAGCUGUAAUCGUCUUUACGGUUACGGACUCUUUCUUCAAUCAGAACUCCAGUUUUUGUCACAAGCCCUCCCAUUCACUUGCAGUAUACCGGUUUUAAGAGUCGUGUGUGUUUCUGUUGCAGUUUGAGCAAUGGUCGGCUUCCGCACCUGAAAUAUUGGAUUAGUGAUGUUUUCAGAGCUGCGAGGUCAAACCCCGCCUCUGGAGCACUGUAUUUACUGCAACCGACUGUGCUGUACUCUACUGAGACACGUUUGCAUAGGAAGCAAUCCCAACUGCCUGCGAGUGAAGGGAGGAGUUUCACGGUACUUUUCACCGUCAAUCAAGCAGAAGAUUCCUGCAACAAAAGAGAAUCAUGAAUGGAAAAAGGCAGUUGAAAGGUGUGAAGUUAGAAUGAGUGUUGAGGGGG
rnacentral:lncRNA from 1 species